CUACGGGACGCUCCAGUGAGGAAUAUUGCACAAUGGGGGGAACCCUGAUGCAGCAACGCCGCGUGGAGGAUGACGCAUUUCGGUGUGUAAACUCCUUUUAUAUGUCAAGAAAAUGACGGUAGCAUAUGAAUAAGCACCGGCCAACUCCGUGCCAGCAGCCGCGGUAAUACGGAGGGUGCAAGCGUUACUCGGAAUCACUGGGCGUAAGGGACGCGUAGGCGGGUUGGAAAGUCAGGUGUGAAAUCCUACAGCUUAACUGUAGAACUGCACUUGAAACUUCUAAUCUAGAGUAUGGGAGGGGGAGAUGGAAUUAGUGGUGUAGGGGUAAAAUCCGUAGAUAUCACUAGGAAUACCUAAAGCGAAGGCGAUCUCCUGGAACAUUACUGACGCUAAGGCGUGAAAGCGUGGGGAGCAAACAGGAUUAGAUACCCUCGUAGUC
rnacentral:rRNA from 1 species